UCUAUCCACUGUCCAUAAACCCUAAUUAUCGAUCCACUGGGCAUCGCUUCUGUUCCAAUGCUGGACGAAAGUAGCGUUAGGAUCCAGUGGGAUCUUCUGAAGAAGAAUUUGUGUUAAAUGUUGUUAACAUGUUGACAGUUCAUAGGUGGUACAGGUUCAUGUGGGUCAUCUUGCCACGUUGAGUGUGCCCUCCAACGGCGAAAGGUCGGAGUGGUUAAUCUUGGCCAAGCGAUGCGGCUCGAUGGGAGUUAUGUCUGGGAUACUUACGGCUCAAUGGCUCGUCAGACAUUUCUUUAAUGUAUUGGAAGAAGCAGCUGACUGUUGUUAAG
rnacentral:lncRNA from 1 species